UACAGAGGUCUCAAGCGUUGUUCGGAUUCAUUGGGCGUAAAGGGUGCGUAGGUGGCGUCGUAAGUCAGGUGUGAAAUUUCGGAGCUUAACUCCGAAACUGCAUUUGAUACUGCGGUGCUUGAGGACUGGAGAGGAGACUGGAAUUUACGGUGUAGCAGUGAAAUGCGUAGAGAUCGUAAGGAAGACCAGUGGCGAAGGCGGGUCUCUGGACCGUUCCUGACACUGAGGCACGAAGGCCAGGGGAGCAAACGGG
rnacentral:rRNA from 1 species